GACGGAAGGUGCAAGCGUUGCUCGGAAUUAUUGGGCGUAAAGCGCGCGUAGGCGGUUACUCAAGUCGGAUGUGAAAGCCCUCGGCUUAACUGAGGAAGUGCACCCGAAACUGAGUAGCUAGAGUACUAAAGAGGGUCGCGGAAUUCCCGGUGUAGAGGUGAAAUUCGUAGAUAUCGGGAGGAACACCGGUGGCGAAGGCGGCGACCUGGGUAGAUACUGACGCUGAGGCGCGAAAGCGUGGGGAGCAAACAGG
rnacentral:rRNA from 1 species